UACGUAGGUGGCAAGCGUUAUCCGGAUUUACUGGGUGUGAAGGGCGUGUAGGCGGGGAAGCAAGUCAGAUGUGAAAACCACGGGCUCAACCUGUGGCCUGCAUUUGAAACUGUUCUUCUUGAGUGCUGGAGAGGCAAUCGGAAUUCCGUGUGUAGCGGUGAAAUGCGUAGAUAUACGGAGGAACACCAGUGGCGAAGGCGGAUUGCUGGACAGUAACUGACGCUGAGGCGCGAAAGCGUGGGGAGCAAACAGG
rnacentral:rRNA from 1 species